rnacentral:rRNA from 1 species
AUGGUUCGCCCCGCUGCUGCUCGGUCUGGCCGACGCCGUUGGGGCCGCCCUCCUGGGAUUCGGGCUGCCGUCAUUGCCCGUGUGCGCCGCGUUGGUGGCCAUGUUUCUUCGGAUUUUUCCUCGACGACGGCUGAUGCUGCUGCGUGUGGCCGCCCGGCUGUAGUUGAUUCAGCAUGUCGUCUUCGGUCCGGUCCUCGCCGGCCGUUUCGUUCUUCCUGGAAUGGUAUUCACCGAUUGGACUCGCGUCAGGAUGUUAAUGUGCCUGUUGAUAGUCGCCGUCGGGAGAUUUUACUAGGGAAGCGGCCUGUAGAUUUCACCAUUGGUAUUCCUAUUAGUGUGGGAUCUUCUUCAACGGUUGUCGGGUCUGCUCCGGCUGUUUGGCCUGCCAGUGAGCGAACUGAUACUUUGUCUGUCCAAGUGGUUGACAGACCGCGUGUCUCUCCUUCUGGUUUUCCUGCUGCUGUCCAUCUUUAUGAGUCUUUGGUUGGUGCUACGUCUCUUCGUUGCCGUCCAAGAGUGGUGCCCUUAUGUGCUGCUAGUGCCUUCGGUCGGCCUACUCCUCUUGGUAACUUCGACUUUCUAAAUAUGUAUAUGCUUUUCUUGGUUUCUGUGUUCUUCUUCUGGGAUUAG